CCCUAGACCCAAAUAACACAGAAACGGCGCACACCCGUACUAUUCAUCGUCUCCCUCACUUAGCCCAACCUCAACUCGCCUAAAACUCAGGCGAGUUCACUCAAAUGGGUCUCCUCCUCUCCACGUCACUUUAUUCCAAUGGUUUUUUGUCAAAGGAGAAAGAAUAUUCUCUCCAAAAUUGUACGAUUUCUGUACGAUGGAACGAUUUGCUAGAUGAAUGGGAGCCGUGGAUGGAUGUAAAUCGAUCCAUGCCUUCCAUUUGUCCCAAAAAUCGUUCAAAAACAUGAGAAUUUUAGGAUAUUUGGGCAGAAGCAUCGAGAUUUUUGUUGGGAUAUAUAAAAGGUAUGUUCAUCUUCUUUGUUGCUCCACAUCGGAUCAUGAAAUGCAAAAUUACUUUCGUUAGUUUCUGCCCAGUUUUGUAAGACCAAUUGGCUCAAUAGUUGAUGCUAGCUUUGAAUCCCUCUCAUUGUUUGUCUUUGGUUUCAAUAGCAUAAGUCAAAUAUAUUUGAGCAUGAUGUUGUUGUAUGUAAAGAUUAAAAUUUUAAGUUGUUUAAAGUGCUCAUUGAUUCGUGCAUUACUUUCUGUAGCCUCUUCUCGUUUAGACUAAAGAUUCAUGCUUAAAACGACACUAAGAUACAACAGAAUAUUUUGUUUGUAUGUGUGUGUUUAUUGAUGUGCAUUGGUUUUAGGUUGGUUAAUCACUUCAUCUCUUUUUCCUUUUAGUUCCCUUAUUAGUGACCUCUCCCAUUAGAACCCCUUCAUAUAUAACAUCGUCAAAAGCUAUCGUGUAAUGGUUCUGCUGCAUCUCUUUAUUUCUGUCCCAGCUCGUAAUGCAGUUUCAAUUUGGUCUUAUAUGAUUAGUCUUCGUUUAUGGAAGUUCCUUUCCUUAUGUGUUUACUAGUAAAGUUAGAAUUUUGAUUGUACAAUUGUCUAUUACACUAGUAAAGGGGACUUUUCUCUUCCCUGUUAUUCAUUGCCCAAAAUCUUCCUAUGUCAUAAAUGGGAUCUGGAAUAGUGAGAGGAGUUGGAGCCUUUAGGUUGGAAGGUGUAGUUAUGGAACAAUACACAUUUUUGCCCAAAAGCCAUUUCCUCUAGAUGUCAUUCUAUGAGAAGAUAUAUAUGCUUGUGAGAAAAGCCAGCUGGUUAUUUGCUUACUCUGUGAUUAUUUGAAAAAAUGCAAAGAUUUUUACAUAGAGAGCUAGGGCUUUAUCUGUAAUGUCUCGUGAAAUUUCUGUGCAACUGAUCGAGAUUCAUGUCUAUUUCUUGUAUGAUGUGUGUGUGCGAGUACUGUUUUAUGUGUAUUUCUGAUGUUUAUUCAUUCACUGUUAGUCAGGUAAAAUUGAAAGACUAAUGUUUAAUCCUUAAUUAGAAGAUGAAUGUGUGCAGGCCAGUCACAUAUUUUUGUAAAGACUAAUUUCUUUUAUUUACUGGUUUUGUCACUAUGUGUAUAUGUUUGUCAGCAUGUCAGAGGUUCCAAUGUAGUGAGGACGUUUGAAUUUCC